rnacentral:lncRNA from 1 species
AAGAAUGCUCUUCUGAUGAUGCAAAACCAUAUGAUUGUAGAAAAUCUCAGUGCUUUAGCCGUUCAGCUAUAUCUCCUGUAGUAAAACCAAGACCAAAACCAACCCCUAAGCCAAAAAGACCACCAGUUCAGAACAAACCACCAGCACCUAAGCCAUCUCCUCCUACAAAACCUAUUGUACCAAUUGAAUCUCCACCACCACCUUCUUCCAAAUCUUCGGGGUCCCAUUUUAAGCGCUCUCCGCCGCCACCUCAAUCAACUCCUCCGCCAUCACCACCACCACCACCACCUGUUUAUAGCAGUUCCCCGUCGCAUCAACAUAGAAGUCCACCACCUCCUACCCACAAAAUUUCACCUGUAACUCGUCACGCUCCACCUCCUCCACCUCCACCAAGUCCGGUAUAUUAUCACCACCCAUCACCACCACCUCCACAACCAGUAUAUUACGCGCCACCAACAUAUAAACCUCAAUCACCACCACCACCUCCACCACCAGUACAUUACGAGCCACCAACGUACACACCUCAAUCACCACCACCACCUCCACCAGUACAUUACGAGCCACCACCAUACACACCUCAAUCACCACCACCUCCACCAGUACAUUACGAACCACCAACGUACACACCUCAAUCGCCACCACCACCAGUAUAUGUGACACCGUCUUCACCACCACCACCAGUAUAUGAGCAUCCAAAACCUCCAACUCCAACUCCAUCACCACCAGCUGGGUACACACCUCCCCAGGAGCCAUCACAUCCUGCCCCACCUACCCCACCUUGUAACGAGACACCACCCCCACCACCUAGUACCCCACAUUGGCAACCAAAACCAUCUCCUCCCCCUACAUAUAACCCAUCACCAUCAUAUACCCAAAGCCCCCCGCCGCCACCUCCUACUUACACCUACUCUUCACCGCCGCCACCAUCAUCAUCACCUCCCCCUCCCACUUACUACUACUCAUCACCGCCUCCGCCGCCACCAUCACCUCCACCGCCAUCACCAUCACCACCACCCCCAAGUUACGAACACGUUCCACUUCCACCCAUUGUAGGAGUCUCCUAUGCAUCUCCACCACCACCAGUCAUUCCAUAUUAUUGAGCCCGGGGUUAAUUAACCAUUAGCCUCAGUUCAUUAUCUUUAAUUUUCCAUUAACAGAUGGAGAUUUGGAGGAGAAGAAUGGAAUUCUUUUUUCUUUUUCUUUUUUUGAUUGGGAAUUAUGUAUACUUUGUUAUUUAUUUUGUUUUUUUAAUUAUCUUGAGUUGAUUAUAUAUUUAUGAAAAAUGGGAUGCUGGGCGGGAGUUAGCAAGGGGUUUAACGAGCAUUAUUGUUAUUCCGAAAGGGUGGUUGUGUAUAACUACAAUUUUACUGUUUUCUUUAGUAAAACUCAUUUAUUCAAUUA